GUCACCCGGUCUGAUAAAUGCCGUGACUUGGUAACCUGUAAUUUCUCUUGGCUCAGACCAUCUCUCGAUAAUCGUCUCCAUAAGCAUGUCGCCCGAUUUCAUAACUUCUGAACGCCGCACUUUCCUUAACCAUGAUCUCCGUCGUACCAACGAUCCUAGAAUCAGUGAUUUGACAGUGGAAGUCAACCGGUUGGUACAGGAGCAUAAGAGAAAAAAAGUGGCUAGACCAUCUGAAGUGUUGCAACAUUGGAACCGAUAUGAGUAAGCUGUGGGUAAGGGUUAAGUCGCUUUCGAACCCUGGAAAAAGGAUAAUAUGACCUCAGUCACUUUUAACGACGUAACGGUGACUGAUCCGAAGAGGUGCGCGGAGUAUUUCAACCGACAAUUUGUCGUGCACCCCGAGAGCGAUAGGGCGAAGCGAAGAGUACUACGUCGUAUCAAAUCUCUUCCCGCCGAGGAGGAACCACCACAGUGUACGAUGGGUGAUGUUGCAAAUGUCAUCCGUAACGCUAAGUCAUCCAAAGCGUUGGGCCCGGACGGAAUCUCAAUGGUAAUGUUGAAGCAGCAGGAUACGCCGGGAGUCGAGUACUUUACGAAAGCGCGGAGUAUUUCAACCGACAAUUUGUCGUGCACCCCGAGAGCGAUAGGGCGAAGCGAAGAGUACUACGUCGUAUCAAAUCUCUUCCCGCCGAGGAGGAACCACCACAGUGUACGAUGGUCAUCCAAAGCGUUGGGCCCGGACGGAAUCUCAAUGGUAAUGUUGAAGCAGCAGGAUACGCCGGGAGUCGAGUACUUUACGAAAGUUCUCAAUUUGUUGCUAGCCACAUUGUGCCCGAAACCUGGAAAAUGGAAUGGCGCUACUGAAGCCAGGCAAGGAUGUCAAUAAAGGCGAAUCGUACAGGCCGAUUUCGCUUUUGUCGCCAGUAGCUAAGAGUCUUGAAUCUUUACUCCUCCCCAGCAUUAGAGGAAGCUAUACAGUUGCCAACCACCAGCACGGAUUUCGUCCACAACAUAGUACCACGACAGCAUUACACGCCAUUUUCACACAUUAUUAGAGGACUGAAUCAGAACAGGCCGUGUGACAGAACAGAGUUGGUAGCCGUUGACCUAACAAAGGCAUUUGAUGCGGUCAAUCAUGCCACACUGUUUGAGGACGCGCAGAGAACUACCCUCCGGCCAAGUUUGAAACGUUGGAUAAUCAACUAUAUGUGUGGACGCCAGUCGUACGUGGAAUUCCGGAACAAGAAGUCAAAAGCCCGUAGAGUGAAACAGGGAGUUCCCCAAGGUGGGGUGAUAUCUCCGGAACUGUUUAACUUCUACCUUUCCGGAAUUCCUCGCCCUCCAGACAGCAUUGAGAUCGUAACGUAUGCGGAUGAUUGUACGAUCAUGGCGUCGGGCCCAGUGGUCGAUGACAUAUGUAAAAGGCUGAACCCCUAUCUCGCGGAACUUGCCGCAUACUUCCACGCGAGGAAUAUGAAAAUAUCCGCCACGAAAUCAACGGCCACACUCUUUACCACAGAAUACACCUGAAUGUGCAGGUCGAGGGGAAUCAAAUACCCACCACGAACUAUCCCAAGAUUCUAGGGGUCACGUUCGACAGCAUGUUCAAGUCAUCCGCGCAAGCCACAGCUAUCUGCGACAAGAUGAAAAGUAGGAACAAGGUCCUACACUAGCCGGCAGCACUUGGGGUGCGGCCAAAGAAACCUUGUUGACCUCUUAUAACGCGAUAGGUCGGUCUGUGGUCAGCUAUGCGGCUCCAGUGUGGUCUGCGAAUACUAGUGCUACGCAGUGGAAGCAUGUCCAGACCUGCCAGAACGCUGCUCUGAGAACUGCGACAGGGUGCCUUCUCAUGACACCAGUGGACCAUCUACAUGAGGAGGCGAAAGUCCUUCCCUUACGUCAGCAUAAUCAUAUGCUUUCGUUGCUGUACCCGCUUAUGGGGGAAAGUUCAAUAGAAGAUUCAUUGACGACUUUCAAAAAUGUCAAUUAAAACAUAAAAUUUACCAUUGGUAUCAAAAACCGACGGAAUCUAGUCGCAUAUUAAAUUUCGAAAACGCGAAAUAUUGGGAACACUUUAUUGUAAUCAAUAAAAAAUAAACUUGCAAUGACGCCUAAAGCUCGAAAAAAUCUUA